UGGGGAAUUUUGGACAAUGGGCGAAAGCCUGAUCCAGCAAUGCCGCGUGAGUGAAGAAGGCCUUCGGGUUGUAAAGCUCUUUCAGUUGAGAAGAAAAGGCCGUGACUAAUAAUUAUGGUUCAUGACGGUAUCAACAGAAGAAGCACCGGCUAACUACGUGCCAGCAGCCGCGGUAAUACGUAGGGUGCGAGCGUUAAUCGGAAUUACUGGGCGUAAAGGGUGCGCAGGCGGUUUUGUAAGUCAGAUGUGAAAUCCCCGGGCUUAACCUGGGAAUUGCGUUUGAAACUGCAGAGCUAGAGUGUAGCAGAGGGGGUGGAAUUCCAUGUGUAGCAGUGAAAUGCGUAGAGAUAUGGAAGAACAUCGAUGGCGAAGGCAGCCCCCUGGGUUAACACUGACGCUCAUGCACGAAAGCGUGGGGAGCAAACAGG
rnacentral:rRNA from 1 species